GUGAACGCUGGCGGUAGGCCUAACACCUGCAAGUCGCACGGCAGCACAGUAAGAGCUUGCUCUUACGGGUGGCGAGUGGCGGACGGGUGAGGAAUACAUCGGAAUCUACUUUUUCGUGGGGGAUAACGUAGGGAAACUUACGCUAAUACCGCAUACGACCUACGGGUGAAGGCAGGGGAUCUUCGGACCUUGCGCGAUUGAAUGAGCCGAUGUCGGAUUAGCUAGUUGGCGGGGUAAAGGCCCACCAAGGUGACGAUCCGUAGCUGGUCUGAGAGGAUGAUCAGCCACACUGGAACUGAGACACGGUCCAGACUCCUACGGGAGGCAGCAGUGGGGAAUAUUGGACAAUGGGCGCAAGCCUGAUCCAGCCAUACCGCGUGGGUGAAGAAGGCCUUCGGGUUGUAAAGCCCUUUUGUUGGGAAAGAAAAGCAGCAGGUUAAUACCCCGCUGUUCUGACGGUACCCAAAGAAUAAGCACCGGCUAACUUCGUG
rnacentral:rRNA from 1 species